UGAUAUCGUAAGUCCUGCCUGGAUGGAUCCCUACAUCCUCCCUCACAGUUCCUGGCCUGGUGGGGACUUGAAAUGAAUGUCUGGCUGAAGUCAGAAGCAUUGCUCCAGCGCUGUAUAUACCAAAACUCCUCUUGGAGGGAGUCCCAGCCCACGCUCAGCACUCUGAGAUUAAGAAAUGUACAGAACUGUAAAAACACAAAUCACAAACAAGCUCGGUGAAUUUUGAAGAGCAGUUUUUGAACACCCCAGUGUGGACGGUAAACCACAACAACAGUAACAGGAAAAGCAGCACCACAAACGAAAACCCAGUACUCCAUUUGAAACUAAAUUCAUUUAAUAAACUAGAAGAAAUUGCUCAGCAAUGAAAAACUCCAGCACCACCACCCUGACCACAUAAGAUACAUGAGAAUAAACAGACUUGUGGGCACACCUCAAGCAAGCUUAAAACAGAAGCCUGCUCCAAAACAGUCUCCACACUAGCAAGGUGAUCUCACUGUCUGGUAGAAAUAACGCUCAUCGGCCAACUGUAAUCAAUCAAUUUCACAGGACUGCUUACUAUAUAUAAAAAUUGAGGUCAGGUAAUAACUUGGGAACGUCAGCAAAGGACAAACAGCAGCUCAGCAAAGCCUGCAGAGGACCUCUGUGGUGAUGUUUUUGAUAUGGUAGUGAAACCCCACUUGGCGUCUGUUUUUCCAGAGGGGUCCAGGAAAUGAGUUUUAUUCUUGCUGAUGCCUGGGCAAAACAACUUUGGAAGAUGAGUGACUCGUGCUGGAGAGGCAGGUCGUGGAGGGGGUGAAGGAAGGACAGCUUGCUGCAGUGGAUAGCAGGCUGGAAGAGGAAAUGAGAUUUGAUGCUUCUUCCACUCCCGACUGAUUUUUUAACUGUGAAUGAACUUAGUCCAAAUGAAGAAAGUGCGCUCUUCACACACAUUAGCUAAACUGAAACCAAAAGUCAGUACUUGAAACACUUUUCUGCAUAACAGAAACCAAAACUCUUUGCAUUUAAAGAGGCUUGCCUUGAAAAUCACCAUUAUCAGACUGGCAAACCAAGGGCAGCAAUUGCUGGAGCUGAAGAGAAACGUAUGUCUCAAAGUGAGAAAUCUCUGACUUCACUGUGUGACCUCUUCUGCUGGGCACAUCGGCCGGUCUCCACCAGACAGCAGGGCAUGAUGGCAGUAGGUCCUCUCUGUACAUAGAACAAGUAACAGGGAGUGCAGAUGGAAAGGACAAAAGGAGAGGGAAUGGAGAAAAAGAAGGAUUUGUGAGGUGCUGGGAGGUUAGGUGCCUUGUCCAGGACCACACAAGAAAUUCAUGGCAAGCAGGUGAACCAUUUGCUGGCACCAAGAAGGGUAUGUGACGGGUGAAGUGCCUCUUCCCUGAGAAGCUGCUAAGGAAACAAUAUGUGGAUUAUCAGCUGUCACCCAAGUGUUACUUCACAGUAAUAUUGCCAUUCAUCAGCUCCUGAGAUAAAUAGGGCAGAUGGCAUGAACUGCCCUAUUUUGUGGAGGUGCCUGCUGCUUUCCUCUCAAUAUAGAGAGCCCUGGGUGACCAGCUUGGACUACUUAGCCACCUUCUCAGUGAGGAGACAUAAAUCCUUCCCCUGCUUUUGUGGGUAUACGUUGCACCAUAUCUGGCCCUGGGAUGGAGGAGUGAGAGGUUCCUUGGGGCCAGCAGAGGUAACUUGGGCUCUGCUGGAUGCUGGGUGCAAAGGAGAGCUGUUUACCACAGCUCUGUCCAUGUUCCCCUCUCUCUGCAUGAAAAAGCUUACCCAACUGAGAGUAUUGGCAAGGAAAAAAUGGUCUUUUAUGCUAAAUGAUAUUCUGUUGUAUUUUACACAAUGCAGGAGGUACCAGAACUUCUAGCAAAAACUGGAGCAACUGAAAGUCACCUAGUCACCUAGUCACAUCAAGCCAUGUUUGAGACCUAGCCAUAACCAUUCCUCUCCAAUUAUUGACCAAUUCAGCCCCAAACAGGCACAUACAAGCUGCCAGACUGGAUCAGAAUUUGAAAGACUGGUGUUUAACCUGGUAGACAACUUAGCCUUUAUGGUGGUCAUCGUUUGGCAGAAGAUGCUGUAAAUUACUAUAUCUUGUGGUAGCUGCAUAGGAAGGAUUUUCUGCAUUGACAGCAACUUUUCUAUCAGGAGAGGAUGCUACGAAUCUUGGUGUAAGCAAAGACCACAACAAGUAAAUAGACCUAAAUAAGUUUUAAGAUACACAGAAUACUUGUAAGCAUAACUACUCUUGGGCAGUUGUUAUCAUCAGGUGGAGAAAAUGAGGCAGAGAGUUGCCUGGCUCUGCUAAGGACACGAAUAAAUUCCCGUUCUUGUUCACAGAGAUCCCCUGGGUUUCUUUGUAUCUUCCCCACACAGACUCCAUGGCAUCCUGUACGUGAACUUUGCAAAACAGUGAGCAUCAGAAAUUAUUUUAGUGCUAUCGGUGUUGAAGAGGGGAAAUGGAGAACGAAAGAAAACACAGUAUCUUUUUCCCCAGAGAGGUAGGGCAGUGCUUACCAAUGGAAAAUAGUGGGUUUCCUUUUGCAACGUGCAUAAAUCUGGACUUUCUUCCCUCCUGGGAGCUUAUGCUGCAUUGUAGCUCCCUUGACAUGUCCCUCUGAGCAGUGUGAGGCUUUCAGCCAUGGUGUUUCUAGCUCUCUUUGGAAUACAAACUUUGGGCUUCAUUCAAGAAAGCACUUAGGCAUGUGUAAUUCCUUAAAUUUCAAUGUGACUAUUCAUGAGCAUAGAGUUAGCACAUAUUUAAUUGCCUUCCUGAAUAUGGGCCAAAACAGAGAGUAUCCCAGGAGUGUUUGGGAAAGAGUCUUAGAUUUCAUUACUUUAAUAAAGAUAGCUGCUCCACUUCAAAAUAUUUCACAAAUGGUUUGGAAAGGUUUGGGACUUCUUGCUAACACAUCUCUGGGGGUGAGGCAGGCAACCAACCCUGUUGGAAAUGAGAUGAGGAUUGUCUGUGCUUGUACCACCCCAAGGGAGAGGACCCAUCUGAGAAUUAAUCUUUUCAUGUUAAUUUUUCCUAAAUGGCAGCCCAGCAAGUGCUCAAAUCCAAUGUUCUCCACAUCCAUUUGUGAACAUAUCAGUUUUUAUUACCACCAUUUGGGAAAGAGCACUGGAUUUAGAAUAUUCAACUGUGCAGGUAAAAGUUGCAGAGAAAACUCUUUAGUGUCUUAUUUUCUAGAGUUUGCUUUCCAUUUUAAGAAUGAGUGCAAGAUGAUAAGCAGAAAAAUAUGCUUUUUAUGUUAGCUCUGAUAUGGUAACAAACUGGAGGUACAAUACCAGUAAAGAUGGUAUGUUUUAUUAGUCUCGUUAAAAUUGCCACUCAGAUUCCACAGACCACAGCAUUCAUCCAAAAUUGUUAUCGAAUCUGAAAAGCACCUAAAUCUUCAAUAUUUACAACCAUGUCUUGACCAAGUAGUGCAGAUACCUUCUUUAUUUUUCAAAACUAGCUUUAAAACUCGAUGUGGGUUGUGAGUGAGUAUCAGCAGAUUUCAUUUAUCUUUUCCACUGUAAAUAGACAACAUCUGAAAUUGCUGGAAUUUCAAAAUUGAAGCAUUUUGCCCAAGACCUAUAUUCAUUUAUCCUCUUGCAGGUAAUAACAGUGGAGGCCUCCAUAUCUGUGAUGAGACUCAUCUCAUCUUAAAAUAGAUGUCUUUUUAAAAGAAGGGAAAAAAGUGUGUGUUUCUUUUUCCAUUGCCCAGAGAAGUUUUAGCUGGUGAUCUCAGAUGUGCACAUCCACAAUUCUGACACCUCUGCAGAGGUGAGAUGAGUCCUACCUUGCAUUGCUGAUUUCUCCACUGACUGAACAACAGGUAAUGGACACAAUGGAGCCACUACAGCUGCAGUGCAAGAAUACAGAUACAGGUCUCUUCCUCUUGCAAACAACCUUGUUUUUCGGCUUGAG